AGUGAACGCUGGCGGCGUGCCUAAUACAUGCAAGUCGAACGGAGUGGCGCACGGUGGAGUAAUAUAUAGCUAAUCUGCCCCUUGCUGGAGGACAACAGUGAGAAAUGACUGCAAAAUCUCCAUAGAAAUGGCUGGGACUAUAUCGUAUCAGCUAGUCGGUGGGGUAACGGCCUACCGAGGCUAUGACGCGUAACUGGUCUGAGAGGAUGAUCAGGCACAUUGGAACUGAGACACGGUCCAAACUCCUACGGCAGGCGGCAGUAGGGAAUUAUGCGCAAUGGGAGAAACCCGGACGCAGCAACGCCGGGUGGAGGAUGACACUUUUUGGAGCGUAAACUCCUGUUGUUAGGGAAGCGGUACCUAACGAAUAAGCACCGGCUAACUCCGUGCCAGCAGCCGCGGUAAUAC
rnacentral:rRNA from 1 species